UAGGGAAUCUUCCACAAUGGACGCAAGUCUGAUGGAGCAACGCCGCGUGAGUGAAGAAGGUUUUCGGACCGUAAAGCUCUGUUGUUGGUGAAGAAAGGAUAGAGGUAGUAACUGGCCUUUAUUUGACGGUAAUCAACCAGAAAGUCACGGCUAACUACGUGCCAGCAGCCGCGGUAAUACGUAGGUGGCAAGCGUUGUCCGGAUUUAUUGGGCGUAAAGCGAGCGCAGGCGGAAGAAUAAGUCUGAUGUGAAAGCCCUCGGCUUAACCGAGGAAUUGCA
rnacentral:rRNA from 1 species